rnacentral:tRNA from 1 species
GCCCCCUUAGCUCAUUUGGUAGAGCAACUGAUUUGUAAUCAGUAGGUGGCCUGUUCGAAUCAGGCAGGGGGCACCA